rnacentral:tRNA from 1 species
GAGGGUGUAGCUCAGUGGUAGAGUGCAUGCUUGACAUGCAUGAGGUCCUGGGUUCAAUCCCCAGUACCCCCC